rnacentral:misc_RNA from 1 species
AAAUCACUGGCCUCGACUCCAGCGAGUGAUUGAAUGGGAUGAGAAGAGGAGGUGGUUGAUUGGGUGACCAAACACCAGAACGCCUAGAGAUAUUCCCUUGCGUGAAUAAAUUUGGUGGAGAGAGAUCAUUUGUCCUUAGUCGAAAAUUUCGGUGAGAACUUUCAGCAUUACCAGACACACUGGGAGAGGGAUAGCAGUCAGGAGCCAUUCCUCUUACAACCGUG